GAGUUUGAUUAUGGCUCAGGAUGAACGCUAGCGGCAGGCCUAACACAUGCAAGUCGAGGGGUAACAUGGAAAAGCUUGCUUUUCUGAUGACGACCGGCGAACGGGUGCGUAACGCGUAUACAAUCUGCCUUCAAGCGGGGGAUAGCCCAUGGAAACGUGGAUUAAUAUCCCAUAGCAUAUAGAUAUCACCUGGUAUUUUAUAUUAAACAUUUAUGGCUUGAAGAUGAGUAUGCGUCCCUAUUAGCUUGAUGGUGUGGUAACGGCCCCACCAUGGGCUACGAUAGGUAGGGGGUCCCUGAAGAGGGAAAUCCCCCCACACUGGUACUGGAAACACGGAACCAAAUCCUACGGGAGGGCGCCAGGGAGGAAUAUUGGAAAAUGGGCCAAAAGCCUGGUCCAGCCUUGCCCGUGCAGGAAAAACUGCCCUUUGGGUUGGAAACGGUUUUUAC
rnacentral:rRNA from 1 species